AUUGAACGCUGGCGGCAGGCCUAACACAUGCAAGUCGAGCGAGCGGCGGACGGGUGAGUAAUGUAUGGGGACUGCCCGAUCGAGGGGGAUAACUACUGGAAACGGUGGCUAAUACCGCAUACUAUCGGAUAACCCAUAUGGGAUUAGCUAGUAGGUGGGGUAAAGGCUCACCUAGGCGACGAUCUCUAGCUGGUCUGAGAGGAUGAUCAGCGAAACUGAGAAAGAGACACGGCCCAGACUCCUUGGGAGUCAGCAGAGGGGAAUAUUGCGCAAUGGGCGCAAGCCUGAUGCAGUCAUGCCGAGUGUAUGAAGAAGGCCGUAGGGUUGUAAAGUGCUUUCAGCGGGGAGGCGUUACCCGCAGAAGAAGCACCGGGUAACUCCGUGCCAGCAGCCGGGGUAAUAC
rnacentral:rRNA from 1 species